rnacentral:rRNA from 1 species
UACGGGGGGGGCAAGCGUUGUUCGGAAUUACUGGGCGUAAAGGGCUCGUAGGCGGCCAACUAAGUCAGACGUGAAAUCCCUCGGCUCAACCGGGGAACUGCGUCUGAUACUGGUUGGCUUGAAUCCGGGAGAGGGAUGUGGAAUUCCAGGUGUAGCGGUGAAAUGCGUAGAUAUCUGGAGGAACACCGGUGGCGAAGGCGACAUCCUGGACCGGUAUUGACGCUGAGGCGCGAAAGCCAGGGGAGCAAACGGG